rnacentral:rRNA from 1 species
UACGAAGGGGGCUAGCGUUGUUCGGAAUACUGGGCGUAAAGCGCGCGCAGGCGGUCUUCCAAGUCAGUGGUGAAAGCCCGGAGCUCAACUCCGGAACUGCCAUUGAAACUGUGAGACUGGAGUACGAGAGAGGUGAGUGGAAUUCCCAGUGUAGAGGUGAAAUUCGUAGAUAUUGGGAAGAACACCGGUGGCGAAGGCGGCUACACUGGCUCGUAACUGACGCUCAGGCGCGACAGCGUGGGGAUCAAACAGG